rnacentral:lncRNA from 1 species
ACUAAGUUUACCGACUCCUUGUGGAGUUGGUGAUCCUUCUCAAAGUUUUGAAGCAACCCCAGUAACCCAUGGUAGUUUACUUCAGGCUUUGUCAUUCUAUAAUGAGUGAGGAAUGGGAGAUAAGACUUGGGCAGUGAGUUCAGUAUUGCAUCUUUCCCAAGCUGCUCAUGCAAGGAAAAGCCGAGCUUGCUCAAUCGUUCCAUCAGCUCGAUCAUGUACAAUACAUGAUCAGUGACAGAGGCACCAUCCCAUAUUUUGGCGUUGA